rnacentral:rRNA from 1 species
GAUGAACGCUGGCGGCGUGCCUAAUACAUGCAAGUCGAGCGAACGGACGAGAAUCUUGCUUUUCUGAUGUUAGCGGCGGACGGGUGAGUAACACGUGGAUACCCUACCUAUAAGACUGGGAUAACUUCGGGAAACCGGAUCUAAUACCGGAUAAUAUUUUGAACCGCAUGGUUCAAAAGUGAAAGACGUUCUUGCUGUCACUUAUAGAUGUAUCCUCGCUGCAUUAGCUAGUUGGUAAGGUAACGGCUUACCAAGGCAACGAUGCAUAGCCGACCUGAGAGGGUGAUCAGCCACACUGGAACUGAGACACGGUCCAGACUCCUACGGGAGGCAGCAGUAGGGAAUCUUGCGCAAUGGGCGAAAGCCUGACGGAGCAACGCCGCGUGAGUGAUGAAGGUCUUCGGAUCGUAAAGCUCUGUUAGUAGGGAAGAACAGAUGUGAGAGUAAAUGUGGACAUCUUGACGGUACCAAAACAGAAAGCCACGGCUAACUACGUG